CCCACCCCGCCCCCCGCCUCCAUGGGAGCUCAGCAGGGCGGGCACAGCUCUACCGGCCCCCCGUGUCCCCCCCCCGCAGUGUGUUGCAUAAGCGGCCCCGUUGCCUAAAGUCGAGUCGCUCUUCGUGUCACCCCAGGGCACAGCGGGGCCCGAGGAGGAGGAGGAGGGAGCUCUGGGCAGGAUGAGGCACCACACCAUCCAUCUCUUCCGUAAGGGCCUUCGGUUGCACGACAACCCAGCUCUGCUGGCUGCACUGCAGUCCUCUGAGGUCGUCUACCCUGUCUACAUCCUGGAUAGAGCCUUCAUGACGUCCGUCAUGCACAUAGGAGCCUUGAGGUGGCAUUUCCUGCUGCAGUCCCUGGAGGAUUUGAGGAGCAGUUUGUGCCAGCUGGGUUCCUGUUUGCUGGUCAUUCAAGGAGAAUACGAAUCAGUUGUCAGAGAUCACGUCCAGAAGUGGAACAUCACUCAAGUGACUCUGGAUGAGGAGAUGGAACCCUUUUACAAGGAGAUGGAAGCCAACAUUCGGGGUCUGGGAGAAGAGCUGGGCUUCGAGGUGCUCUCAUUGAUGGGCCACAGCCUCUAUAACACCCAACGGAUUUUGGAGCUGAAUGGUGGGACUCCCCCACUGACAUACAAGAGGUUCCUUCGCAUCCUGGCACUGCUUGGGGACCCAGAGGUUCCUGUUCGAAACCUCACAGCUGAGGACUUCCAGAGGUGCAGCCCCCCUGAGCUGGGCCUGGCUGAGCGCUACGGGGUCCCUUUGCCCACGGAUCUGAAGAUCCCCCCUGAGAGCAUCUCCCCAUGGAGAGGAGGGGAGAGUGAAGGGCUGCAUCGCUUGGAGCAGCACCUGGCAGACCAGGGCUGGGUGGCAAGUUUCACCAAACCAAAAACAAUCCCGAAUUCACUGCUUCCAAGCACCACUGGCCUCAGCCCCUAUUUCAGCAUGGGCUGCCUGUCAGUCCGCAGCUUCUUUUAUAGGCUGUCAAACAUUUAUGCUCAGGCCAAGCACCACUCCCUGCCUCCUGUGUCACUCCAAGGGCAGCUGCUGUGGAGGGAAUUCUUCUACACGGUGGCAUCAGCAACACCAAACUUCACCAAAAUGGCCGGGAAUCCCAUCUGCCUCCAGAUCCGUUGGUAUGAGGAUGCUGAGAGGCUCCACAGAUGGAAAACGGCUCAGACCGGGUUCCCUUGGAUUGAUGCAAUCAUGACCCAGCUGCGACAAGAGGGCUGGAUCCACCACCUUGCCCGGCACGCUGCCGCCUGCUUCCUGACCAGGGGGGACCUUUGGAUCAGCUGGGAAGAGGGCAUGAAGGUGUUUGAAGAGCUGCUUUUAGAUGCUGACUACAGCAUCAACGCAGGGAACUGGAUGUGGCUGUCAGCCAGUGCCUUCUUCCACCAGUACACACGGAUCUUCUGCCCAGUUCGUUUUGGGAGGCGCACAGACCCAGAGGGGGAAUACAUCAGGAAGUACUUACCUAUCCUAAAGAACUUUCCCUCUAAGUACAUCUACGAGCCCUGGACGGCCUCUGAAGAGGAGCAGAAGCAAGCAGGAUGUAUCAUAGGUCGGGAUUACCCCUUCCCAAUGGUGGACCACAAGGAGGCCAGUGAUCACAACCUGCAGCUGAUGAAGCAGGUCCGAGAGGAGCAGUACAGGACAGCCCAGCUCACCAGAGAUGAUGCGGAUGACCCCAUGGAAAUGAAGCUGAAGCGGGACCUCUCUGAGGAAAACUUACCAAAGACAAAAGCAGCCAGGAUGACAGAGCAAGCCUAGAUCCCAUUGAGGGGGUUACCCUCUGGGGACAGAGGAAUGGCAGAAGGGAGAGCAGAGGCCAUCCAAGCAGGAGGAGCAGCACUCCAUGCAUGAAUUGACCACCAGCAAAAGCUCUGUACCUCCCACCUAUUUGUUACUGCUGUUACCUGGAAUGACUUUGCUAGAUGGUGGCUUUAGUAGUCAUUUACUGCAGCUGUAGGCAAUGGAUGUGUUUCUGUGUUGCUAUUAUUCAAAUCCACUCGGUGUCCAUGCGUCUUUAUGAAUAGUUUUAAUGACAAACACCACCCUUUCCAUUGCGACAGAUACACAUGGAUUUAAGGCUAAAUUGCCUCUCCUGGGUAGAGAGGCAAAUUUUAAGGGCAUUGUUGUACAGUUUAUCAGUGGGUCGGGGCUGAUGUCCUUCUUGUCUUGUUCCUCUACCUGUGGGGUAGAUAUUAGUCCUCUCGCGUACCACAUGUUAAAAUUCCCCCCUCCAUUGAAAUGGCUCCUCCAGAAGUAUCACAAGGCUGAGUAGCCUGUUUUCUUUGUUAUGGUUGGGGUUCUGGCAGGGGUCAGAGGAGAGGGGUGGGUUUUCAUCACUGUGGGUAUCACUUUUGUUUAUAAAAGGAAUAAAACUUAUUUCUGAUGUGACAAAAACGUGAGGUCUGUAGAUUAAUCUGUUGUCACAAUUGGUGCCCAUCUGCCCUCAUUGGAAUGAAGACAACUAUUGCAUCAAUCCCACAUGCCCAGACUCCUUCACUCUGGAGGCAUCCAUGGACCACUGCAGAAGCAGCCUGUGAGCCCCAUGAACCGGGGGUGGGUGUUUUCUUACAGUAAAUACAUUAGGACCAUCUGAUAGAUCUGAGAAUGAGCCUUGUCAUCCCACUGUGCUGAGCCUGAACUGAGCUGAGCUGGUGAAGACACAGGGGUUACCAGGAGGACCAGAAUGAAAGGCUGAGCAGGAUGAGGGCAAUGCAGCAAUACAGAGCUGGUUGUUACAUCGUGUUUUCGAGGCACAGCCAUCUCCUUCAUGUCCUAAAGCAGCCUGUUUCUAUUUCAGUGCCAUGCCUGGCAUUGCUGUGCAAACAGAGACUUCGUGUGCUUGUUGCUCACGGUUUGGAGUGGCAUUGUUUCUCCCAGGAGGUCAGAUUGCAGCUGUGAAGGUUCAAAGGACCUUUGGGACUCCUUUUGUUGCAAGGUUUGGUCUUUGGUUGGAAGAACGAGGGUUUGGGUCUGCAAAGAAGCUGUGCAGGAGAAACUGCAAGAGCAGGAAACUGCAAGAGC